AGCAGCCGCGGUAAUUCCAGCUCCAAUAGCGUAUAUUAAAGUUGUUGCAGUUAAAAAGCUCGUAGUUGAAUUUCGGGGUCAGUAGGUCGGUCGUGCCACUGGUAUGAACUGGUUUUACUGAUUCCUCCCUCUUGAAGAACUGUAAUGCCAUUAAUUUGGUGUUGCAGGGAAUCAGGACUGUUACUUUGACAAAUUAGAGUGUUUAAAGCAGGCUUUAGCUUGAAUACAUUAGCAUGGAAUAAUGAAAUAGGACGUUUGAUCCUAUUUUGUUGGUUUCUAGGAUUGACGUAAUGAUUAAUAGGGAUAGUUGGGGGCAUUAGUAUUCAAUUGUCAGAGGUGAAAUUCUUGGAUUUAUUGAAGACUAACUACUGCGAAAGCAUUUGCCAAGGAUGUUUUCAUUAAUCAAGAACGAAAGUUAGGGGAUCGAAGACGAUCAGAUACCGUCGUAGUCUUAACCAUAAACUAUGCCGACUAGGGAUCGGAUGAUGUUAAUUUUUANGACUNAUUCGG
rnacentral:rRNA from 1 species